rnacentral:rRNA from 1 species
GACGAACGCUGGCGGCGUGCUUAACACAUGCAAGUCGAACGGAAAGGCCCUGCUUUUGUGGGGUGCUCGAGUGGCGAACGGGUGAGUAACACGUGAGUAACCUGCCCUUGACUUUGGGAUAACUUCAGGAAACUGGGGCUAAUACCGGAUAGGAGCUCCUGCUGCAUGGUGGGGGUUGGAAAGUUUCGGCGGUUGGGGAUGGACUCGCGGCUUAUCAGCUUGUUGGUGGGGUAGUGGCUUACUAAGGCUUUGACGGGUAGCCGGCCUGAGAGGGUGACCGGCCACAUGGGGACUGAGAUACGGCCCAGACUGCUACGGGAGGAAGAAGUGGGGAAUAUGGAACAAUGGGCGGAAGACUGAUGCAGAAACGCAGCGUGCGGGAUGACGGCCUUCGGGUUGUAAACCGCUGUCGCCUGUGACGAAGCGUGAGUGACGGUAAUGGGUAAAGAAGCACCGGCUAACUACGUG